rnacentral:rRNA from 1 species
CUGCCUUAUGGUCGAGCAUAACCUCGGGAAACUGAGGGUAAUUCUUGAUAGGUGAUUUUUCCUGGAAUGGUAUUUCACUCAAACACGUGCCAUAAGAUGAGCCGGCGGCUGAUUAGGCUGUUGGUGGGGUAAUGGCCCACCAAACCUAAGAUCAGUACGGGCCUUGAGAGAGGUAGCCCGGAGAGGGACACUGAGAUACGGGUCCCAGCCCCACGGGGUGCAGCAGGCGCGAAACCUUUACAAUGCACGCAAGUGUGAUAGGGGGAUACUCAGUGCUUANCGACUAUGUUGUAGGCUUUUUUCAAUCGUAAAUAGAUUGGAGAAUAAGUGGUGGAAAGACUGGUGCCAGCCGCCGCGGUAACCCCAGCGCCACAAGUGGUUAUCACGAUUAUUGGUCUAAAGCUUUGUACCCGGUUUGGUGCAUCUCCUGAAAUUGUGCUGCUUAACAGUACAGCGUCAGGAGACACGGCCAGACUCGAGCCGGGAGGCGUAUGAAUAUUCCAUGGGGACUGGUAAAAUGGGAUAAUCCAUGGAAGACUACCGAUGGCGAAGCAUCAUACGAGAACGGAUCUGACGGUGAGGAACGAAACUAGGGGAGCGACCGGAUUAGAUACCCGAGUAGUCCUAGCCGUAAACGCUAUGAGCUAGGUGUUGCGCAUCUCACGAAGAUGCCGCAGUGU